GUAAAAGUUGUGCUCUGCAUUCAAUCAGGGUAACUGCUCAGAAAACUGCAUUCUUAGUGGAAAUGCACAGGCAAGGUAUGCGGUGUUCUUUUCUACUGGAAAUCCUCCAUUGUGGCUCCUCAGCUCAAAGCUAAAGGAAGAUACUUAAAAUUUGACGACAGAAGAUGUGUCCCUCAGGUGGAUGCACCCCAUACAACUCCAGGUCUGGAUGUCCCCUGCUCUUUCCUUCAGAAGCUCUGGAAAUGGGCAAUCUUUGCUCUACUCUUCUCCAUUUUCAGAUGUAACAUGCUGUGAAGCUGCUUUGGGUCAGCAAGAAACCUUCAUAACAGGCGUUUCAGAUCCUGAAAAUGCCACGGUGUGCGUGAGAUUUGAAGACAGCAGAAAGCUCAGCGAAGGCUGUCACGUCCGCAGAGACCUUUUGAUGGAUUUAGUAGGAUUUCAGUAAAGACGGAGAGACAUUUUACACGGACAAAAGGUCCUGCAUCGGCUCUACGUGCAAACUUUUACAGAUCAUCAAAUUCAGUGUUGGGUUUGGAAAAUAUGAGAGUAAAAGCAUAUUUGCAAACCAGCCUUCGUGUCUGCAGGUCAAAGCUUAUUCCUGUGAUCUUAAAGGCAACUCUCCGAAGCCAUUUACUAUACCUAGCGAAUAAGAACUGCCAGGUUGAAAUAUUAACUUAGAAAAUGUGAUACAACAGAAAAAAAUUGCUGGGCUUACUAAUACUUUAUAAGUAAAUAACACUGUUAUAGCUACUUGGAUUGUAUUUUUAUUCCAGAAGGAAUGAUUAUUUUUAUGCCAUCAGUAAGGAAUGAUAAAUCCUACUCCUGUAACAAGGAGGAGAAAGCCCUUCAAGCAUCCUUAUUACGUGCCAUGUUGUUGGCUUUCCAUGCACUUUUGAAAAAUAGAUACAUAGCCGCUGCCACUUACCAGUGAACUUUAUUGAAUAUCUGAGAGAGUGUAGGUAAGUCAGAA